rnacentral:rRNA from 1 species
GACGAACGCUGGCGGCGUGCCUAAUACAUGCAAGUUGAGCGCUGAAGGUUGGUACUUGUACCGACUGGAUGAGCAGCGAACGGGUGAGUAACGCGUGGGGAAUCUGCCUUUGAGCGGGGGACAACAUUUGGAAACGAAUGCUAAUACCGCAUAAAAACUUUAAACACAAGUUUUAAGUUUGAAAGAUGCAAUUGCAUCACUCAAAGAUGAUCCCGCGUUGUAUUAGCUAGUUGGUGAGGUAAAGGCUCACCAAGGCGAUGAUACAUAGCCGACCUGAGAGGGUGAUCGGCCACAUUGGGACUGAGACACGGCCCAAACGCCUACGGGAGGCAGCAGUAGGGAAUCUUCGGCAAUAGACGAAAGUCUGACCGAGCAACGCCGCGUGAGUGAAGAAGGUUUUCGGAUCGUAAAACUCGGUUGGUAGAGAAGAACGUUGGUGAGAGUGGAAAGCUCAUCAAGUGACGGUAACUACCCAGAAAGGGACGGCUAACUACGUG